CAACUCUACAGUAUUUGGUAGCCCUGCCCGAGCUUGCCAUAUGAAUUGGCGCAAUUUUGGCAAACAAAACUAAACAAAAUAAAAAUAGUCCAGCAACAAGCAAGCUGCAGCUACUAAGACUACAAAAAUGACGACAACGACGCCGACACUACAGACGCGCAUGGCGCUAGCUGAAAUUCCCGAUCGUCUGGAAGCGCUCCGCGUUGCGAAUACACCAACAAAUGCCAAUCGCCGCACGCCAGAUGAGCCCACACCGGCAGCCACAGCUAACACGCCCAAUGGUGGCGGCGGUGGCGGGGGAUUGGGAUUGCGUGUGGACAAUGAUUUAAAUGUGGCACAGGCACAGGAUUUUAGCUUCUCGCCGCUGCCCUCACCAGACGAGCUUAUUAUACGACAACGUGGACGUCGUCGUUUCACAACGACUUUCUCACCGGACAAAGUGAAUGGCGGCAUCAGCGGCAGCGGCAGUGCAGUACGCAGUCCCUUUCAGCGUACGCCCACGAAAAAUCUACAGUUAACAAGCGGCAUGAUAUUGCGCAGUUCUCCGCGUAAACGACUGACCAUGGGCAGCACACCACCCGAACCAAUGCCAAUGGAAACGUAUUCACCCAUCAAAUUGACCGGCACAAAACAACAACUAUGGCCAGGUACGCCGAUAGUGAAAAAACUAAAAAUGGAUGACCGUCCCGUGGCGCAAACGAACAGCGAAGUGGCACUGCCUGCGCUACUACAGGGCCUCUCCCAGCAACAACUUAUUGACUUGAUAAUGUGCAAUAUAAAACAGGAGACGGCGACGGAUACACAAAGCGGCGAGGAGAAAAUACGCGCUCAGCUGCCCACACCAGACAUUACUUUGCUGGAGCAAGAGCUGCAUUAUGCCAAAAGGCUAAUAUUCAAAUCUCUGCCCACGUCGCGACUUUGCAAGAAAACAGAUGCCGCUGCUUACUCAAAGGCAGCCAUACAUCUCAAUGAGUUUAAGCGAAUACUGCAAACGCAGGCGAAGCGUCUGCACGACUCCACACACUGGGAUGCACUGGUGGACUAUGUCAGCAUGGCUUGGCAAUGUGUGGCGAGCACGCCCAACUGGGAGAGCAAUUCCCACAAUGCGGUGCGAAGACAGUGCUUUAAGCUGCUGGCAUGCUCCUGUUAUGCGGCAAUCAAACACGGCGGCAUGCGGCUGGGUCAAACAAGACUGGAGACAUUGGAACGUAAUUUGCGUGAGUGGUCGAAGGACUACGAGGACGUGCUGUCCUGCGUGAAUGCAUUGCAGCGUACGCUUAACAGCCGCACCAGCUUAUAAAGCCAUGAGAGGUGGUAGACUUCAAAUAGACUUAAGGCAGACUUGCUGAACUCGAGGUUUAGUGGACCGUUUAGAUUAAGUGUGUGUAUAAUCGCUUGUGGAUAAUUUCGGCUUUCCCCGCACGGCAACUGAUUAGCCUCGCCUAUCAACAGUCGUUUUAUCAUAUCAUCCAAGAAGUCGGGCGGAAAAGCGAUGCAUGGACCAUUAAUAAGAUGGCACUUAAUAAUCUUUGGUAAUUUGUUGAAAAUGAUGCAGAACACGCAGUACAACAUUCCUCGCCUGCCUGCCUGCCAGCCUGGGCAAAUGACACACAUUGAAAUAUUUUUAUAAUUUAUGCUCACCUCCCUUUAAAUAGAGAGCUGGCUAUAUGGGGAAGGAGUAGUUUCUUAGCCGCCUCAUAAUUUUUGUGUGUGUUCAAAAAUAACAUCAAAUUCACAUCAA